GCCACGGUGGUGCAGUGGCAGAGCACGCGUCUUCGGAAAGCAUGAAACGCGGGUUCGAUUCCCGCCUGAGGCU